rnacentral:sRNA from 1 species
CUUUUAUCAAUUAUAAUCAAGUGUAUCUUAUUGAAAACAAAUGCUUAAAGAAUAGUUUUCCUAGAUGCAUGUACCUAUUAAUCAGGUGUGUACAUACAUAUAUGUGUGCAUGUGCACAUAAAAAGACUUUGUCUAUGGGUACUGCCACUGCUGGUUUGGAGGACUCUUCAAAAUUCAUUCCGAAUGCGAUCAUGUGUGGGGCAGUAGAGAGCCGCGGCUCUUUGAACGUUAAUUAAAAUGCAUCAAUUUAUUGCUGGGCGAUGUGCGUGCAAUAAUAACCAUUUAAUAAAUAUGCUCAAUCAAUGCCUUCCCCCUCGCUGUCUCUACCCCUCUCUCUCCCGCUGCGCGCUCCAAAUAAUGAAAAGAAUUGCGGCGCCGACCUGUAGCUGCUCGAGCCUGAAAAGGGGAUGGCCAGGGGAUGGACAGUGGCUAGGCAGGGUGUUCGGUAAUUACAUUUUGUCAUAAAUUUAACAUUUAUUUUAAAAUGUCAUUAAGUACUUAA